rnacentral:tRNA from 1 species
GAGGGUAUAACUCAGUGGCAGAGCACAUGCUUGGCAUGCAUGAGGUCCUGGGUUCAAUCCCCAGCACCUUUU